rnacentral:lncRNA from 1 species
GAGGGCACCAAAUACUUCUUCUUGUCCAGGUCUCCAAUGCGAGCCUUGGGGGCCUUCUCCACUAUCACCGGGACGCGGUCCGGGUAUUUCUUGCGGAUCUUCUCCCCUUCGCAGCGCCGUUUCUCGAACGGGUGCUCCUCCUUAUAGAGGAACUUCAUGGCCGGGCCGGACCGGGCCGAACCGGGACGCUCCGAACCGGAAGCGGAGCGGAACUGAGGGCGCGGCCGCGCACUUCCGG